AAAUUCUAUCUCUCUCUUCGUCGAUUCUUCUUCGUUUGUCUUCCUUCUUUCGUUCUUCUUCCUUCUUCUCUAUUUGCAUGUCACGAAACCGAUCGAUCACUGCUACCUCCUCCUCCAAAUCCGUCAAUAAAAUCACCGUUGAGGUUCGGAUUUUUUGAUUUUUUUGUAUUGAUUUGAAGCUCGUCUAGUGAAUUGGGUUGAUACAAAUCGAUUUGAGAAUAGAUUUGACUCUGUGUAUCUCCUCUGUCUGUCUAUCUUUACACGACUUGGUUCCAUCGAUUUGGUUCCAAAACUCGUUGUAUUGGAGAGACCCGAGAGAGAGGAAGAACAUGGAACCAAAUCGAUGUAAUAAGAGAUAAAGCUAUGGUGGGUUUGAGAGAGAACACUCCCGUGGAAACGUUAACGCAAAGGUCUGAUAAUGUUCAUCACCCACUCUCUGCCAGAGACGGAUCAAACUUGGGCAAAGCAUCUUUCUUUCAUUUAAUUUGGCAAGAGAAAACCCUAACGCCGUUUCUCUCAAAGGCGAUUUCGAAGACGAUUUCUGUCGAUUCUCUCUAAUCCAUCAUUCUCACCGCCGAUUAUCUCUCUGCCGUUAUCACCAUCGUUCUCACCACCGUUCUCACAGCCGCUUCCUCUAUUUAAGAUCUGAGAGGAAACCCUAGCGCGCAUUCUCUCAGAGGUGUCUCGUUGGACUCCGCCGCCGGUAAGUUAUAUCUCUUACUGUCGAGUGAUUGAUUGAGGAAAAGAUGAACAUAAAACGUUGUCUCUAUCAAUUUAUACACUCGUUCUCACCAAACUUCUUUUUUUCACGUCUAUUUUUGCAGAUAUAUAACCGUUUUGUCGAAGGCGACUAUAUCUUCUCCGAAUUUUCAGGUCGGCUUAAAAAUGUUCUACUGGAAGUCUUGGAAGACUUAUAAUUAAGUCGUCUGGAAAGUCUUCCAGCUGGAAAACUUGCCA